rnacentral:rRNA from 1 species
ACACGACUACAUUAGAUACCCGUGUAGUCCUAGCCGUAAACGAUACUCGCUAGGUGUCGGCCACGGUGCGACCGUUGUCGGUGCCGUAGGGAAGCCGUGAAGCGAGCCACCUGGGAAGUACGGCCGCAAGGCUGAAACUUAAAGGAAUUGGCGGGAAGCACCACAACGGGUGGAGCUUGCGGUUUAAUUGGAUUCAACGCCGGAAAUCUUACCGGGACCGACAGCAACAUGAAGGCCAGGCUGAAGACUUUGCCGGAUUAGCUG